UACGGGGGGGGCAAGCGUUGUCCGGAAUCAUUGGGCGUAAAGAGCGUGUAGGCGGCCAGAUAAGUCCGCUGUGAAAUCUCGAGGCUCAACUUCGAGCUGUCGGUGGAAACUGUCUGGCUAGAGUCCGGAAGAGGAGAAUGGAAUUCCUGGUGUAGCGGUGAAAUGCGCAGAUAUCAGGAGGAACACCGGUGGCGAAGGCGGGUCUCUGGGCCGAUACUGACGCUGAGGAGCGAAAGCGUGGGGAGCGAACAGG
rnacentral:rRNA from 1 species